UGGGUCAAUCCUAAAACUUAUGUGGACAUCUUUACAUGACUAGCUGGUCAUUGUUCUUUUAGGGUGGUCAUCAAAUGGGAAUUGUUCAGUAAGGAGUUUCCUGCUAUUUAGCUGCUAUUUGGUAGGUUUAAAUAGGCUGUCCAAGUGUUGCGUUCUGAGUGUUGGAAAUAGUGGUGUAUAGGCCAAGUAUUCUUCGGAAUCUCUAUGGAUGUGGAUGAUCUCUGAAAAGAGGUGUAUAUAUAUAUAUAGGUAAUCCCUAAAAAAAAAUGGUUUCUUCCUUAAUAGGUGGUAAACAUGAUGUACUGUGAGACAUGGAAAACCAGAACCAGAUGUCCAAGCGUCAGGAAGAUGUCAUGUUCAGCCAACUUCAAGUGUCAGGUGUGGGUAUUGCAAUGUGCCCUUUGAAAUAAACAAAGAAAUAUGUUUAGGACAAGUUCACUGAUCUCAUUAGUUUAAUGUGUGAAAUUUGGCUGCAAGUGGAUCAAUUUAAAGUGCAACAUUGUUAAAUAUCAAUCUGUGUCUACCAUAAAUGAAGUUGCUUCUCUUUA